UACGUAGGGUGCGAGCGUUAAUCGGAAUUACUGGGCGUAAAGCGUGCGCAGGUGGUGAUGUAAGACAGAUGUGAAAUCCCCGGGCUCAACCUGGGAACUGCAUUUGUGACUGCAUCGCUGGAGUGCGGCAGAGGGGGAUGGAAUUCCGCGUGUAGCAGUGAAAUGCGUAGAUAUGCGGAGGAACACCGAUGGCGAAGGCAAUCCCCUGGGCCUGCACUGACGCUCAUGCACGAAAGCGUGGGGAGCGAACAGG
rnacentral:rRNA from 1 species